rnacentral:rRNA from 1 species
GGAGAUAGCUCGUACUCCCCGAAAGGCAUUUAGGUGCCGCGUCGGAUGGUCACCGUGAGAGGUAGAGCGACCGAUAGGACAAGAGGGCUUCACCGCCUAUCGAGUCCUGACGAACUCCGAAUGCUCACGGUCUGCAGUCCGGCAGUAAGGGGGCGGGUGCUAAGGUCCGUCCCCGAGAGGAGAAGAAUCCAGACCGCCGUCUAAGGUCCCGGAGUUCUGCCUGAGUUAGUCUAACGAAGUCUGGUCCCUAUGACAGCUAGGAUGUUGGCUUGGAAUCAGCCAUUCAUUCAAAGAGUGCGU